UGCCAUCACUACAGAAGAAUUUAAAGCUUUCUGAUCCUCGCAGGCAGCCACCAUCUUGCCCUGUGUUUACCAAUUUCACGUGUCAUUAAAUUAGCCCUAAGACACCUUUUGUGUGACAUGUGGAAGUAAAGCACAGCCUGUAACUUUAAUGACCUUUUAUGCGAUUCAGUCUAUAAAACACGAAGCCUGCCCAGCAACGGUUUACAUUAAUGGCAUUUAAAGAAAUAUUUUAAUAUUGAAAAAUACAUCCGUGGUGAAAGGAUUUGGCUGGUUCUCAAUUAAAGCUAGUUGCAUAAAAGACAUCGAGGAGAAACCUUUAAGACUGGUUGAUUAUCUUCAAUAGAUAAGUGCAUUUGGAAGAAAAAGAAAGCAACUAUCAAGUUUGCAAAACGAAAAAAGAAGGGUUUCAAUCCUGCACUUAGUGAACCUGCUUGAAUCCUAUUCAGUCUGCAAGAAAUCUGUUGAAUAAUCUUAUAUGUGGAAGAUAUGUCCAUUUUUCUAAGAUAGAUCUUUAAACCUUGUCUAUGAAAUAAUUGAUAAUCUCAAAUGAUUUAAGCCAUAAACCAUUCGUCUUAAAGCUGUGCAAGACAUGUGAAAUCCACUUGAUGAUAUGCUUCAUGCCACUUCUUUUACUGAAGCUGUACUGAUACAUCCUUCCUUGGAUAUCUCAUAGAUGGAAAUAAUCUCUGUUCCAAUUGAAGAGAAUAUAUGUAGCUCAGGGUUAAAUGAAAAUAUAAGCAGAUAGUGACUUCCAAUAGGCUUGGAAAAGGAGAAGAAAGGGCUUGUAAUGAAAUAUGCUAAGAGUUCAUCAAAAACAGCAAGGAGGGUUUGUGCCUUUGGCAAUAGGAAUGUACAUGAAUGACACUAUUGUGGGAAGCCAACCAUUGUGUUCCUCAGACCACCAGAAGAUGGUCUUUUUGCAUAAAUAUUUGACAGCAUUGAGAGAUGUCUGGAAAUUUCAUUUGUAAAUCAAAACAAUUUUUGCAACCAAAUGUAUGAAACUGAAUCUUUGGUACUCUGAUUUCAAGUUUUUUUUCUCCAUUUUAUGCAACUUAAUCUCUAGUAUCCAUUUUUUUAUGUGUAUCAGAACAUAAGUUAAAAAAAGGAUGUGAUUGCAUGGUCACUAUCUUGACUUUAAAAAAAUAAGCACUUUUGGAUUCUUUUUUGUUUCCUUUGUCUUUGCAAGCUUUUUGUUUUAUUUUAAAGACAGCAAAAUGGAAGAUUUACUUUUGAGGUUAAGACACUUUAAAAACAUAAAAAUAUAAAAACAGAUACAAAUAUAAAAACCAGGAGCUACUGUAUUUCUAUUACUCUCAAACUAUGAUACCUUUUAAUAUCAAGGUGUUUUUAAAAACAAAAUGUCUCUCCCUUCCUAACAAUAUUAUUGUUUUACCUUCAGGCUCUUGUUGUAGAUUCUUGCUGUAGAUUUUAUGAACAUGAUUCAAAUAAAUUGGUUCUCUGUC